rfam:Tupaia chinensis contig194944, whole genome shotgun sequence.
UCUCAUUGCUAAUGGCCUUUCAGCUAGCAUCAAGUGGCAUCUGUUCUAAUCAGUUUAAUAUCUAAAAUGUCCUCUAUCUGAGGACAGUAUAUUAAAUCAAUUUUUGAAGCAGGGAGACGGAAUGGGAUCUUGCUUCAUCCAACCCAUGUAUUGACCUGGUAUUUCUGUACUUCCAGGGGUGUUACAUGCCCU